CCCGCCGCGCCCGGCGCGGCCAUGCUGCCGUGGGGCCGGGCGUUGCGGGGGCUGCUCCGCUGGGCCGGGGCCGCUGCCCGGCGCGGGGCUGCCCGGCGGGAGCGCUGCGGGCCGGGGGAGCGGCCGGGGCGCCGCGGGGCCGCGCUGCCCGCGGGGCCCGACCUGCGCCACUUCCUGAGGGGGGCCGCCGCGGGGGAGCCGCCGCCGGAGCCGGGCCCUGCCCCGGGCACCGGGAGAGUAUACCUGGAGACGUACGGCUGCCAGAUGAACGUCAACGACACAGAGAUCGCCUGGGCCAUCCUGCAGAAGAACGGCUACACCAGGACAAAGCAGCUGGAUGAGGCAGACGUGAUUCUCCUGGUCACCUGUUCCAUCAGGGAGAAGGCAGAACAGGCCAUCUGGAACCGCCUGCGGCACCUCAGGGCGCUGAAGGCCCGGCGGCAGCAGCAGGCUGGCUCCCCUCUGCGCAUCGGGAUUCUGGGAUGCAUGGCUGAGAGGCUGAAGGAGGAGAUUCUGCACAGGGAGAAGCUGGUGGACAUUGUGGCAGGCCCUGAUGCAUACCGUGACCUCCCCCGGCUGCUGGCCGUGGCAGAGUCUGGCCAACAAGCUGCCAAUGUCCUGCUGUCGCUAGAUGAGACCUAUGCAGACAUUCUGCCUGUCCAGACUAGUGCAGGUGGCACGACAGCGUUUGUAUCUAUCAUGCGGGGCUGUGACAACAUGUGCAGUUACUGCAUCGUGCCCUUCACCCGUGGCCGGGAAAGGAGCCGCCCCAUCGCAUCCAUCCUGCAGGAAGUGAGGAUGCUCUCGGAUCAGGGGGUGAAAGAAGUGACCCUCCUGGGUCAGAACGUCAACAGCUUUCGAGACAUGUCUGAGGUGCAGUUUCAAUCAGCUGCAGCCCCAGGCCUCAGCCGUGGCUUUAGCACAGUCUAUAGAGCCAAGCCAGGAGGUUUGCGCUUCGCACAUCUUCUGGACCAGGUGUCCAGGAUUGAUCCAGAAAUGAGGAUCCGUUUCACCUCCCCACACCCCAAGGACUUCCCUGAUGAGGUCCUGCAGCUUAUCCAGGAGCGACACAACAUCUGCAAACAGCUUCACCUCCCAGCGCAGAGCGGAAGCACACGAGUCCUGGAGGCCAUGCGACGCGGAUACACAAGAGAAGCGUAUUUGGAGCUUGUACACCACGUGCGUGAAUCCAUUCCAGGAAGUGCAAAGCUGUGUCUCCGUGACAGGGGUGAGCUUAAGCAGCGAUUUCAUCGCCGGCUUCUGUGGAGAGACAGAAGAAGAUCACCAGCAGACCGUGUCCUUGCUGCGGGAAGUCUGCUACAACGUGGGCUUCCUGUUUGCCUACAGUAUGAGACAGAAGACCCGGGCGUUUCACCGCCUGCAGGACGAUGUGCCUGCAGAGGUAAAGCAGCGGCGACUGCAGGAGCUCAUCACUGUAUUUCGGGAGGAGGCUGCAAGGGCCAACGAGACCAUGGUGGGCCAGUGUCAGCUGGUGCUGGUGGAGGGGCCCAGCAAGCGCUCUGCCUUGGAGCUGUGUGGCAGGAAUGACGGCAACAUCAAGGUGAUCUUCCCCGAUGCUGAGGUGGAGGAUGCUGUGGGCUGCCAGGCUCCGGCCAGGGCCCAGCCAGGGGACUACGUGCUGGUGAAGGUAACCUCCGCCAGCUCCCAGACCCUGAAGGGAGUUCCGCUCCGCCGCACAACCCUCUCCCGCUCUGCAGCUUGUCACUGAGCUGUCCCUGCUGCUGUGGGACAGAAGCAGCACGUUUCUCCAGGAAGCAAUGAGGAAGUUUGGUCAGGAGAUAGGGUAGAACCAGGGAUGUAUAUGUAUAUUAGAAUAUAUAUGUAUGAAAUAAUAGUAAAUAUAUAUAUUUCUGGUUUGGCAACAAUC